GAUAGAACUACUAUUCUCAUAAAGGGGACAGAAAUUGCCAGUCUUUCUGCCCCUCAAAGUCUUUCUUCCUGCUUUUAAAGUCAGCAGGAGGAUAUUGACUCCAGAGAAAAGCCUGUCACUUCAGGGAAAGAACCAGCCUGUAGUAUUGUGAACCAUCUCUUUCUAACUUCCAGCUGGAGCACAAGAGAGACUGCUAUAGAAGCCCACCUCUCUGGGAGAGCUGCCUUUUGCUGGGAGACUGUCAGUAAAGGGUUAUCCUCCACAUGGUCAUCCAGCAGCCUUCACUGUCUACUGUUUGCUGAAUGUAGCUGAUACAGCAGAUUACAGAUACAUUUAUUUGGGAUCAUCUGCCCAGUAAUGCAGAAUUGGAGACCAAAAAUGAACAUUCUAGGAGAAAUGUAGAAGCUGGAAAAGACUAGCUGUCAUGAAGAAUGCCUCAUGGAACCCCUCAGUGAGAAGAAUCAUUAGAGAAGUGUGCACCCUCCAGGAUGUAUCCUUGAGGUUACUAAAGACCUCCAAGGUCAAGCACAACACAGAAAGCUCCUCCCCUUCAUAGAAGAACUUACCUUAAAGUGGAAACUGUAACAGCAAGAUGAAGAAUAACUGCCAAUGAUAUAUGUUAUAAAGGGAAAAAAAAUGAUGAACUCAAAGACAAAGGAGGCUCUGGUCAGCCAUGGUGACUCUCAGCAGUGCUAGCAACCUGAGGCUUGAUGGUGGAUGAUUCGGCCAGCAAGCAGCAUAGUGUUCUUACGUGGGAAGCAACAUAUGCCAAUAUCCCUGAGUGGUAAAGAGUGUGAUUGAUCUAGGAACUUCUGCAGAUGCUACCAGAGAAAUAGGAGACAAGUUAUGAUUUCCUUCCUGGCAAAUUAGUUUGCAAUUUGGACUCCUUUCCCUUAUGGCUAAAGCAUUAGGAUUCCCUUUCUGCUCCCUUCAGAGAUUGUUUUCAUUUUUUACUUGCUGUGCUGCUAAUGCCCAAAUCCUGGAUUCCAUUGAACAUCCCAUUAAAGAUCUCAUAUGCUGCUCCUUGGAGACUGCUGUGGAAAGUCAGGGGCGCAACAGCCACCCUCCUAGAUCUCAAACCAUUCCUGCUUCCUCUGGUGAAGGUGAUCUUUUGGAAGCCACUCUACACAUGUCGAUUAACUGCAGGAGUCUGGCCUGAGCUUUGGAUCCCUUUUCUGUGAAAUGGAACAUUUGCCACAUAGAUGAUUCAAUAUCAUGUGCCUCAGCAAUGAGAGGUCUUGUACAGUCAGUCACAGUGUGGCUGUGGCACCCUGGAAGUUUCUUUCCUGAAUCACAGUGAUCCUGAAUUUGUCCUGUUCCCCCUCCCCCCCAUUUAUAACUUUUGAUUAUAUUGGGGCACUUGAAGAGAUUCCCAGGUGACACCAAUGCUGUCAGGGUCCAGGGUCUUGAGGAGUAGUCCAGAGCAGACUUCCUGACCUGCCUAAGAGCGAACUUCCUAAUCAAACUUGCAUACUCUCAGGGAAACUGAUUUCUGUGUUAGAAAAUCAAUCUAUUGAAAAAAUUGUGAAGAGGUGUUUUCAUGUAGAAAGCUCUUUAUCAUGUCUAUUUCAGGAAUCUUAACAAAGGGACUGGAAUCUUCCAGAUCCUAUGGGGCAGGUUUGCACAGAGAGACACGGGAAUUGGCCAGUUCUGCUGAGAGUUCACCUUGCGGGUUAGUUUUGUUAGGCAGUCUACGCUUUUAGCACUUUUUUUCCUUUCCUCUAUCCUGGGGAUAUGGCUUCUCCAAAAUAUUUCAGGUGAUCAGGAUUAGGGUUAGGGUUAGGGUGGCUUUCCCAUAUGAAGACCUCUUCAGGAAGCCACUUCCUUUUGUACUUUUCCUGCAUGCACAUCAGAAUAUAGCACCCCAGGUAUGGGGCUUCAGAUAUAUUUGAACAACAUUAACUGAGCUUCUACAACAAGCACUUUACAUGCCAGAUGUAGCAGAGGGUUCACUAUUGACUAAGACAGAUCCUUGCCCUCCAAAAGUUUUAUAUAUAUAUAUAUAAAAGGCUAGAAUUUGAUGUUUGGUGAAGGCUCGGUCUCUGCUUCAUAAAUGGCACUUUUGCUGCAUUCUCACUUGGUGGAGGGGUGAGAGGAGCAAAGAAGGUCCAACACAUGGCAGAAGAGAAGGAAGGGAUGAACCUGUUCCCUGCAGCCCUUUUAUAAGAGCUAACCCAUCCAGGAGGGUGGAGCCCUCACAGCCCAGUGACUUUCCAAAGCCUCAUCUUUUACUACUGACAUUUUGGGAUGAAAGUUCCAAAAUAUGAAUUUUGGAGAGGGGCACUUACAUCCAAAACAUAGCAGACAUCAAAGUGAGAGAGACAAAAAGCAUCAUGUUUCUUUGAAGAAGAGAAGAACUCCCUUCUCCUUUGCCUUUUCCUUCAUUCCUUUAUGAAAUAAAAAUAAAUAAAUCAAUGAA